AUAUCAAUAAGCCGGAGGA
rnacentral:rRNA from 1 species